AGGCCUUCUAAUAUAGUGUUCUGUAUAGUAUCUGUUCUUAUCAGUUUAAUAUUUGAUUCAUCCUCUGAGGACAAUAUAUUAAAUGGAUUUUUGGAGCAGGGAGUUGGAAUAGGAGCGUGCGCUGUCUACUCUACGCAUCAACCUGGUAUUGCAGUACCUCUAGGCAUGGUGCACUUCCU
rnacentral:snRNA from 1 species